GUUCCCGAGAGUUCUUCAUUUGCAGGGAAUAGCGGACCAUCAUCAAGGCCAGGACACUGCCGUCACUUGCCCAGGUCCCAGCCUCCAGGGUUGGACACAUGGCCAGAUUCAUCAACAACUGAGGCAGAGAUAAUGGGCUGAGCUGACUCGUUUAGAAGCAGUAAUUCCUUCUAGAGAUUCCCCAUUCAUUUAGGCACUGGAGCAAUUAUUUGCUGUCUGACACUUGCAGUUGGCUGAACUCUGGCCUUAUGUGGCUCCUGACUGUUCCUUAAUCUGCAUGGCUUGUCCAGCCACCUGUGCCAAAGAGGAUCUGAUUGGGAGAAAACAGGAAGAUCUUCAGCCCAGCACCUUAAGAAGACAAAAGUGCAGCCUUUAAGCAGGUGAGGGCACUGCAUUGAAAAUCGAGAAUGAGCCAUACGGACUGUUGAUUUGGAGAGUAAUUUUUAGGCUCCUGACAUAGCCAGUGCAUAGAUUUUGUAAAGAAGUUUUACAAAAGUAAAUAUGAGUAAUUUGUACUGCCAAUGUGGUUUGCUGAUACGCUAGCUCAUUAAAGUUUGUGAUUUCCAUAGGAGUUGUAACCCCAAAAUAAACUUGCUUUGCAA